CCUACGGGUGGCAGCAGUGGGGAAUAUUGCACAAUGGGGGAAACCCUGAUGCAGCGACGCCGCGUGAGUGAAGAAGUAUUUCGGUAUGUAAAGCUCUAUCAGCAGGGAAGAAAAUGACGGUACCUGCCUAAGAAUCCCCGGCUAACUACGUGCCAGCAGCCGCGGUAAGACGUAGGGGGCAAGCGUGAUCAGGAUUUACUGGGUGGAAAGGGAGCGUAGACGGCAGCGCAAGUCUGAAGUGAAAUCACAUGGCUUAACCAUGGAACUGCUUUGGAAACUGUGCAGCUGGAGUACUGGAGAGGCAGACGGAAUUCCUAGUGUAGCGGUGAAAUGCGUAGAUAUUAGGAGGAACACCAGUGGCGAAGGCGGUCUGCUGGACAGCAACUGACGCUGAGGCGCGAAAGCGUGGGGAGCAAACAGGAUUAGAUACCCGUGUAGUC
rnacentral:rRNA from 1 species